rnacentral:rRNA from 1 species
GACGAACGCUGGCGGCGUGCUUAACACAUGCAAGUCGAACGGAAAGGCCUUUUCGGAGGUACUCGAGUGGCGAACGGGUGAGUAACACGUGGGUGAUCUGCCCUGCACUCUGGGAUAAGCCUGGGAAACUGGGUCUAAUACCGGAUAGGACCGCACUUUAGUGUGUGUGGUGGAAAGUUUUUUCGGUGUAGGAUGAGCCCGCGGCCUAUCAGCUUGUUGGUGGGGUAAUGGCCUACCAAGGCGGCGACGGGUGGCCGGACUGAGAGGUUGGUCGGCCACAUUGGGACUGAGAUACGGCCCAGACUCCUACGGGAGGCAGCAGUGGGGAACAUUGCACAAUGGGCGCAAGCCUGAUGCAGCGACGCCGCGUGGGGGAUGACGGCCUUCGGGUUGUAAACUCCUUUCGCCAGGGACGAAGCGUUUUGUGACGGUACCUGGAGAAGAAGCACCGGCUAACUACGUG